rnacentral:rRNA from 1 species
UACAGAGGUGGCAAGCGUUGUUCGGAAUUACUGGGCGUAAAGGGCGCGUAGGCGGCCUUCUAAGUCAGACGUGAAAUCCCCCGGCUUAACCUGGGAACUGCGUCUGAUACUGGAGGGCUUGAGUGCGGGAGAGGGAUGUGGAAUUCCAGGUGUAGCGGUGAAAUGCGUAGAUAUCUGGAGGACACCGGUGGCGAAGGCGGCAUCCUGGACCGACACUGACGCUGAGGCGCGAAAGCUAGGGUAGCAAACGG